rnacentral:rRNA from 1 species
GACGAACGCUGGCGGCGUGCUUAAUACAUGCAAGUCGAACGGACAGACGCUGCUCUUGCGGGUUGCUCGAUUGGCGAACGGGGGAGUAACACGUGAGUAAACUCCCCCUGUCUUUCUGAUAACUUCAGGAAACUGCGGCUCUUAUCGCGUAUGAUCUCCUGCAGCAUAGUGUGGGUUGGAGAAUUUCGGCGGUUGUGGAUCGUCUCGCGGCUUAUCCGCUUGUUGGUGGGGUAGUGGCGUACCAGGGGUUCGACGGGUAGCCGGCCUGAGAGGGUGACCGGCGACAUUGGGACUGAGAUAGGGCCCAGUAUCGUACGGGACGCAGCAGUGGGAAAUAUUGCGGAAUGGGGGCAAGUCUGAGGUAGAAACGUCGGGUGCGGGAUGACGGCCUUCGGGUUGUAAACCGCUUUCGAAUGAGACGAAGAGUGAGUGACGGUAAUGGGUAAAGAAGCCACGGCUAACUACGUG